GACGAACCGAGCGAACGUUGUUCGGAAUCACUGGGCUUAAAAGGCGCGUAGGCGGGCUGCCAAGUUUGGGGUGAAAUCCUCCGGCUCAACCGGAGCAGUGCCUCGAAUACUGGCGGUCUCGAGGGAGGUAGGGGCGUGCGGAACUGUGGGUGGAGCGGUGAAAUGCGUAGAUAUCGUCUGGAACGCCGAAGGUGAAAACAGCUCGCUGGGGCUGCGCUGACGCUGAGACACGAAAGCCAGGGGAGCGAACGGG
rnacentral:rRNA from 1 species